GCCACUUUACAACCAUUUGAAGCCCAUUGUACAACCUUUAAAGCAUGAAAGUGUUGAAAACUUCUUUUCAACACAUGCUGUAUAACUGGGCGGCAAAACAAUUUUUGGGCGGCCAGAGCUGGAUUCAAUUUUUGAAUCCGUUUAUUCAUCCCCCAUCCCAAGACACUUUUUCUGUUCCUAUUGUUUCUUCUUCCAAGAGAAACCCUAAAACACAAACCCUCCCAACCAUCUUCUCCACCGAUUCUAUUCCUAUCCUUUCUUGAGAAACCCUAAAACACAAACCCUUGCAUCCAUCUUCUCCACCGAUGACACCACCAGCGACCGUCGAAACCUUCUUCUUCUCUUAAAGAGCCGAUGAUCUUGGCAAAAUCAUGGCUGGUUCUCCUUAACAUACCCUCUGUUAGCCUUUACUGAUGCCAGAGAGUAGUCCAUUGAUGAUGAUGAGUUCUUCGGGUUUCUUUCUUCGGCGAUUCCGACAUCAGAUCUACUGGGUUCAACUUCUCGAUGGUGUGGUGUCUGAUGCGGUGUCUGAUGCGAGCAAAAAGAAGAAGGCAGUCGCCUCAGCCAAGAGAGGAGUACAAGCUUUGAUGAACAUAAAGAAUGGUCUAGAUGAUCCACAUAGUGUCUUGAAUUGGGAUGCAGAUGCUGUUGAUCCAUGUAGUUGGACUAUGAUCACUUUUUCUCCAGAUAAAUUUAUCAUUGGCUGUCGUUUCGCGUUGGUCCAGAGCAAGAACAAGGGCUGCCAAGGUAAACAUACAAACUUUAUAUCAAAAAGAAUAAAAUGUCAUUUUUGUCCCUGGGGUUUGACCACUUUUGUGACUUUCGUCCCUGAGGUGGCAUUUUCACCCUUGAGGGCCAAAUUUCGAGAGUCGACAGUCGCAAUAAAUUGCUAAACUCAAGGCAGAAAACGGCAAUAAAACGCAAACCCGAGGUCAGAUUUUGCUAUCAAAUUUCGAGCGACGAUUCAGAAACACGAAGCGUUUGAUGAAGAUAUCACCAGAUUGGUUCAGAUUUUGCUAUCUUCGGCUGCUAUUGAUGGUGGUUGUCUGGUUAAGUUGGCCAUUCCGACCACUCGACAACCCUAAGGGUUUUCUUUCACUAAACGGCGAUGUAUUUUCCGGCAUAGUGACACAAGAUCGAUUCGACUUCUCGAUCUUUGAAAUUUUAGGGUUUCUUUCUCCAGCGAUUCCGACAUCAGAUCUACUGGGUUCAACUUCUCGAAAAUUGCCGGAUUAUUGAUGUUAUGCUAGAUUUGUAGUUGGUAUGAUGAUUAAAUCUCGACUAGGAUUCGCAUUUUUGAAGAUGAUUCUUUACAGAUUGAACCGGAAAGGGUUUCCACUUUUGGUUAGUGGCGUUCCCCCUGAUGCAUUUAGUGAAACUGGUCAACUAUGGGACAGCCCACUGUAUGACUGGAAAGCAGUGGAAGAAGAUCGAUUUUCAUGGUGGGUACGCCAUUUAAAACGUGCACAGGAUCUAUUUGACGAGUUCAGAACAGAUCACUUUCGGGGAUUUUCUGGCUUUUGGGUUGUUCCUUCUGAAGCAAAAAGUGCGACUAGGCUAGAUGGAAGGUGCUGGUGGUGUUUUUGUUGAUGCUGCUGUAGCUGGCGCUGCACCAGCAUCCGCUGCACCAGCAAUGGUCAAACCGUUGAACAUGAGCGAGGUAUUGGAUGCAAGCAAAGAGAAGAUGUUUGCAAGUAUCGUUCCCGACAGCAGUGCAAAGGUGCUUUCACGGUACACUGAAAUGGUCGAUGACAUCAUCAGAACUCAAGCGGAAAAACUGCAACAAAGGAGCGAGCUGGCUCUGGGUGUGUCUCAAGGAAAUGGACUUGCCAGGUUCGAUUCGUGUAUUGGAAGGACACUCUGUCUUGCCAACAACUUUAUGGGAAGAUGUGGAAGCGGUUCAAGUUAGUGGCGGUCCAGCUGGGUUGGAAAGUGAGCUUCAACCACUUCGGGAUUUGAGUAGGGUUAACCAUGAGUUGUUCAGAUGUGGAAAACAAACCUUUGGACGAAAGUCGCGAAACUCGCCAAACCUUAGGGACGAAAAUUGCAUUGUACUCUUUAUAUAUAUUUGUUCUGAAUAUAGAUCUUAUGUUAUUGUAUAUUCCGUUACAUGCAGCGGCUUGUGAAAAGUGUUAUAAGCAGAUAGAAGUUGCCAUAGCCAGGUACCGAGAAAUCAAAGAUAAGAUCAAUGAAGGACUCAAGUUUUAUGUUACUCUUCAGG